GAUGAACGCUAGCGGCAGGCUUAAUACAUGCAAGUCGUGGGGCAGCGCAGGUAGCAAUACUGGGCGGCGACCGGCAAACGGGUGCGGAACACGUACACAACCUUCCGAGAAGUGGGGAAUAGCCCAGAGAAAUUUGGAUUAAUACCCCGUAACAUAACGAUGUGGCAUCACAUUGUUAUUAUAGCUUCGGCGCUUCUUGAUGGGUGUGCGGCUGAUUAGAUAGUUGGCGGGGUAACGGCCCACCAAGUCUACGAUCAGUAGCUGAUGUGAGAGCAUGAUCAGCCACACGGGCACUGAGACACGGGCCCGACUCCUACGGGAGGCAGCAGUAAGGAAUAUUGGUCAAUGGACGCAAGUCUGAACCAGCCAUGCCGCGUGAAGGAUUAAGGUCCUCUGGAUUGUAAACUUCUUUAUCUGGGACGAAAAAGGCGAUUCUUCGUCACUUGACGGUACCAGAUGAAUAAGCACCGGCUAACUCCGUGCCAGCAGCCGACGG
rnacentral:rRNA from 1 species